UCCUUGGUGGCUCAGAAGGUAAAAGCGUCUGCCUACAAUGCGGGUGACCCGGGUUCAAUCCCUGGCUGAGAAA
rnacentral:tRNA from 1 species